CCAACGAGGACCCCUAGCGCUGCCACUGAU
rnacentral:sRNA from 1 species